GGGGGAGGGGAAGCUUUGUACAUAUCUUAAGGUUGUAGUUUCUUGAGCUCAGAAGAGCACAGGGAGAGGGGGAUGGAGGAGUUGGUGUACGGAGUGGCCUUCCAGCAUGGACUGUUGCAGCAGUACUCUGCCUGCUUCCCAGACUCUGUGAUCCCCAUCUGGUCAGCAGGCUCUACUGUCUCCAGUAUCUACCUGACAAUGGGACCUGGCAUGAGGGUGACUUCCCAGCCUGAUGUGUAAUAUGGCCUUUGGAUUGUCUUCAUGUCCCAAGGCAUUUAGUGACUUUAAGGUGGGGAAGCUGUAGGGACUGAGGGGGACUUAGGGAGCGAGCCUGGGGCAUGGCUGGAGCACACUGGGGACAGAGCAUUAGGUGGCAGGGGCGCUGAAGUGCCCUUUGUUGAUAAGUCUGUUCUGUUGCACUUUGCUCAGAAGGGGUCCAUCAGGAGCUUUGCUAGCCCAUCGUGGCAUGAGGCUCAGGUUUGGAGGUGAGAGCUGGAGAUUGGGCCAGUGGGCAAGCUUCCCAGUGUUGGGGGGUUUCUUGCCUUUACCAUCUCUUUAGGACCUCACAUUGGACUUGGUGGCAGCUGACCCAGCACAGAAGGUAGAGCUAAAGAGAGGAGUCCCCAUUCAGUGCCACCAACAGCUGGACCAGGGCUCCCCUUCUCCAAGGCAGCACACAUCAGACUGCCGAUGUCCUUUGCUCCACUGAUGGUCCUGACCAGUUUAUAAGAGCUCCGUAUGCAAUUAAAGAUACUAACCUGU